AGCUCCAAUAGCGUAUAUUAAAGUUGUUGCAGUUAAAAAGCUCGUAGUUGGAUUUCUGUCAUGGUGGGAUGGUCCGCCUCACGGUGAGCACUGUCUUUCUACUGUGACAUCCUCUCGAAGACGUGUUGUGCACUUAGUUGUGUGUGGCAUGGAUUUGGGACCUUUACUUUGAAAAAUUAGAGUGUUCAAAGCAGGCGUUUUGCUUGAAUAUAUUAGCAUGGAAUAAUGGAAUAGGACUUUGGUUCUAUUUUGUUGGUUUCUAGGACUGAAGUAAUGAUUAAUAGGGACAGUUGGGGGCAUUAGUAUUUAAUUGUCAGAGGUGAAAUUCUUGGAUUUAUGAAAGACUAACUACUGCGAAAGCAUUUGCCAAGGAUGUUUUCA
rnacentral:rRNA from 1 species